UACGUAGGGACCAAGCGUUGUUCGGAUUUACUGGGCGUAAAGGGCGCGUAGGCGGCGUGACAAGUCACGUUGUGAAAUCUCCGGGCUUAACUCGGAACGGUCAAGUGAUACUGUCGUGCUAGAGUGCAGAAGGGGCAAUCGGAAUUCUUGGUGUAGCGGUGAAAUGCGUAGAUAUCAAGAGGAACACCUGAGGUGAAGACGGGUUGCUGGGCUGACACUGACGCUGAGGCGCGAAAGCUAGGGGAGCAAACGGG
rnacentral:rRNA from 1 species